AGUGAACGCUGGCGGUAGGCCUAACACAUGCAAGUCGAACGGCAGCACAGUAAGGGCUUGCUCUUACGGGUGGCGAGUGGCGGACGGGUGAGGAAUACAUCGGAAUCUACUUUUUCGUGGGGGAUAACGUAGGGAAACUUACGCUAAUACCGCAUACGACCUACGGGUGAAAGCAGGGGAUCUUCGGACCUUGCGCGAUUGAAUGAGCCGAUGUCGGAUUAGCUAGUUGGCGGGGUAAGGCCCACCAAGGCGACGAUCCGUAGCUGGUCUGAGAGGAUGAUCAGCCACACUGGAACUGAGACACGGUCCAGACUCCUACGGGAGGCAGCAGUGGGGAAUAUUGGACAAUGGGCGCAAGCCUGAUCCAGCCAUACCGCGUGGGUGAAGAAGGCCUUCGGGUUGUAAAGCCCUUUUGUUGGGAAAGAAAAGCAGCAGGUUAAUACCCCGCUGUUCUGACGGUACCCAAAGAAUAAGCACCGGCUAACUUCGUG
rnacentral:rRNA from 1 species